CCCAAUUUUUUUUGGUGGAAAAGCGUGGCGGCAGCAGCAGUGGAUGGAUGUACUUGAGUUUGAGUACUUGUAAAUGCUAGGCACCACUAACAAACUUUUCAGCAAGCAAGCAAGCAAGCAGCACGAGAAAAAGGUUCAGAUAAAUCCAAAGUGACCGAAGUGGGUGGGCGAAAAAGAUAGAGAGCAAGCACCGGCACCGACGUCCUUAUAGUCAUACUAGAAUAGAAUGGUAGAAUCACAGCUGGAUCAUGUGGUGGAAUAUCCUGUCGUUUUCAUGGCUACGUACGUAGAAAGUCUAGUAGAUUUGGUGUGUGUGUGUGUGAGAGAGAAAGAGAGUCUCGUCACUUGACUAUACAUUGAGGUGACGGCGGAGCCCGAGCAGGAGACGCCCGUCCACGCGGCGCCGCAGGGGUCGCCGCCGCUGGCGGACCAGCCGGCGAGGCGCGCCGGGCUGUUCCAGGAGCUGUAGAGGUUCCCCAGGGCGGCAACUGCGAGAACCAGAGCACCCGUGCUCCUCUACACGGCCAUAGAGAUGAUCACCGUGGGCGGCAGCACCUCCCCCUCACCCUGCUCCUCCGCAGCUCUAUCUAUCAUCCAUCAGCGACAGCCGAGGGAAUGGGAUGCAGUGUGGUGUCGGCAAAGCUCACUCUCUCUGUCUGCUGUGCUGCUGCCAGCUGGGACUGGGAGGGAGGAGGGAACAGAAGAGAGAAUGAACAGGUAGAGCGGAGAGGACGACGGUCGGCGUGACCAAAUUUGGAGUGCGGCAGGGGUCUCGCAUCGCACUCGAACACCACCGAUGCUGGACCGGCACGGGUCUGGUCUGGUCUGGCAUGUUCCAUACCGUGUUUGUGUCUAGGCCAUAUAUUCGGUGUACACUGUCAGCAUGGGUAUGAGUGACACCACCUAGAACUGGAUUCAUAAAUGCGGUUCGAUACUUUUUUUCUAUCGUUGGAUUCUCUCUACUCAUAUAGUGGCGCGAUCCUUUUAUCAGA